GAUGAACGCUGGCGGCGUGCCUAAUACAUGCAAGUCGAGCGAACGGACGAGAAGCUUGCUUCUCUGAUGUUAGCGGCGGACGGGUGAGUAACACGUGGAUAACCUACCUAUAAGACUGGGAUGACUUCGGGAAACCGGAGCUAAUACCGGAUGAUAUUUUGAACCGCAUAGUUCAAAAGUGAAAGACGGUCUUGCUGUCACUUAUAGAUGGAUCCGCGCUGCAUUAGCUAGUUGGUAAGGUAACGGCUUACCAAGGCAACGAUGCAUAGCCGACCUGAGAGGGUGAUCGGCCACACUGGAACUGAGACACGGUCCAGACUCCUACGGGAGGCAGCAGUAGGGAAUCUUCCGCAAUGGGCGAAAGCCUGACGGAGCAACGCCGCGUGAGUGAUGAAGGUCUUCGGAUCGUAAAACUCUGUUAUUAGGGAAGAACAUAUGUGUAAGUAACUGUGCACAUCUUGACGGUACCUAAUCAGAAAGCCACGGCUAACUACGUG
rnacentral:rRNA from 1 species